AACCGGCCUUGACCUUGUAGGAAACCAAAUAUUUGCAACCAAAAGCACUGGCACUGAUCCAUUGCUGAGUGUGUUAUGUGGAAGCUGACAUUAUCAGGUCUAGUGUCGCACAAGGACAGAAACACAGCAGAACAAAAAACUAGUGAUCGGAAAAAGCUGUUCACUGGAGAAACUCCUCAUGUGUCACUCGCAACACCAGUAGGAUGGAAAUGGCUGGAUUUGGGUCCGUGGCUGGGGCGGCUACGCUUGAAAGAUUUCAAACCGGUUGAGGGGGAUCCGUGGACAGAAUACAGCGAGAGUGGUUAUGUCUACCGCACUGUAUUAACUUAGUGGGAGAUCUUUACUUUAUUCUGUCAUGACAGACCCACAAAGCAUUCCUGAAUUGGCAGAGAUUCCAUCAUGAUUAUGGGAUAAACAAAUAUAUGAUGUGGAAUUGAUGAAAAACAUAAAACUACUAGUUGUUGUAGUAGAAAAAUUAACUAAAUAUGCUUAACAAACUAUUUUGUAUUUGGAUAGUAAGUUUCUGCAGCCUUGUAAGAGACUUUUAUGACUUGUAUUUACAUACACCAAAUGUUUAAGACUUGAGCUGUUUUAUGGUCGGAACUGUUAGUGUUGAAAUACGUUGAGACCAUUUGUUACUUAAUUACCCAUCAAAGGAAGGAGUGGAUGUCUUCUUAUCACCUAAGGAAACACAUGUGAAUCAGUUGCUAAUGUUUAGAUUCCUCUCCUUCCCCCACCCAUGUAUCCUUCCUGGAUUGGUUCAGAAGGACAGCCCUAAAUCCUCCUAUAUAAGAUCUGUGUUUUUGACUGUUCUUCAUCCUCACUCUGAGACCCUUGUGGUUUCCCUGUGUUGAUCCUUUCUGCAGAAAGCCCCUUAUUAAAUACACGUAGAUAAC